GAUGAACGCUAGCGGGAGGCCUAAUACAUGCAAGUCGAGCGGUAGAGUGACUUCGGUUGCUUGAGAGCGGCGAACGGGUGAGUAACGCGUACACAAUCUACCUUUAAGAGGGGAAUAGCCCUGGGAAACUGGGAUUAAUGCCCCAUGGCAUCACGAGACGGCAUCGUUUUGUGAUUAAAGCUGAGGUGCUUAGAGAUGAGUGUGCGUCUGAUUAGCUAGUUGGUGCGGUAACGGCGCACCAAGGCGACGAUCAGUAGGGGGCGUGAGAGCGUGGACCCCCACACGGGUACUGAGACACGGACCCGACUCCUACGGGAGGCAGCAGUAAGGAAUAUUGGUCAAUGGAGGAAACUCUGAACCAGCCAUCCCGCGUGCAGGAAGAAUGCCCUAUGGGUUGUAAACUGCUUUUUGUACGGAACGAAACGGCCUUUUCUAAUACAGAGGGCUAAUGACGGUACCGUAAGAAUAAGCACCGGCUAACUACGUGCCAGCAGCCGCGGUAAUGUACG
rnacentral:rRNA from 1 species